rnacentral:rRNA from 1 species
CAGUAGCCGCGGUAACACGUAGGUGGCAAGCGUUGUCCGGAAUUAUUGGGCGUAAAGGGCUCGCAGGCGGUUUCUUAAGUCUGAUGUGAAAGCCCCCGGCUCAACCGGGGAGGGUCAUUGGAAACUGGGAAACUUGAGUGCAGAAGAGGAGAGUGGAAUUCCACGUGUAGCGGUGAAAUGCGUAGAGAUGUGGAGGAACACCAGUGGCGAAGGCGACUCUCUGGUCUGUAACUGACGCUGAGGAGCGAAAGCGUGGGGAGCGAACAGGAUUAGAUACCCGUGUAGUCCCUGUCUCUUAUAC